UUGAAUAAACUUGGUCGAGCUGUUGCUGGUCCUUCGGGGCAUGUGCACGCUUGCCACCAAUUUUAACCACCUGUGCACCUUCUGUAGAUUGGAAACGUUUCUCGAGGCAACUCGGAUUGAGAACUGCUGUGCGCAAGCCAGCUGUUCUUGUGUUUCUCAAUCUAUGUUUUCAUAUACUCCUAAUGUAUGUAUCAGAAUGUAUUGCUGGGCCUUAGUGCCUUUAAAUCAAAUA
rnacentral:misc_RNA from 1 species